rnacentral:rRNA from 1 species
GUCUACGGCCAUACCACCCUGAACGCGCCCGAUCUCGUCUGAUCUCGGAAGCUAAGCAGGGUCGGGCCCGGUUAGUACUUGGAUGGGAGACCGCCUGGGAAAUACCGGGUGCUGUAGGCU